rnacentral:rRNA from 2 species
ACGGGGCGCAGCAGGCGCGAAACCUUUGCAAUGUGCGCAAGCACGACAAGGUUAAUCCGAGUGUUUCCUGCUAAAGGAAUCUUUUGUUAGUCGUAAAACCACUGAUGAAUAAGGGGUGGGCAAGUUCUGGUGUCAGCCGCCGCGGUAAAACCAGCACCUCAAGUGGUCAGGAGGAUUAUUGGGCCUAAAGCAUCCGUAGCCGGCUCUGCAAGUUUUCGGUUAAAUCCAUUUGCUUAACAAAUGGGCUGCCGAAAAUACUACAUAGCUAGGGAGUGGGAGAGGUAGACGGUAUUCGGUAGGAAGGGGUAAAAUCCUUUGAUCUAUUGUGGACCACCUAUGGCGAAGGCAGUCUACCAGAACACGUUCGACGGUGAGGGAUGAAAGCUGGGGGAGCAAACCGGAUUAGAUACCCGGGUAGUCCCAGCUGUAAACGAUGCAGACUCGGUGAUGCACUGGCUUGUGGCCAGUGCAGUGCCGCAGGGAAGCCGUUAAGUUUGCCGCCUGGGAAGUACGUACGCAAGUAUGAAACUUAAAGGAAUUGGCGGGGGAGCAC